rnacentral:rRNA from 1 species
UACGGAGGGGGCUAGCGUUGUUCGGAAUUACUGGGCGUAAAGCGCACGUAGGCGGACCAGUUAGUUGGGGGUGAAAUCCCGGGGCUCAACCCCGGAACUGCCUCCAAAACUGCUGGUCUGGAGGUCGAGAGAGGUGAGUGGAAUUCCGAGUGUAGAGGUGAAAUUCGUAGAUAUUCGGAGGAACACCAGUGGCGAAGGCGGCUCACUGGCUCGAUACUGACGCUGAGGUGCGAAAGCGUGGGGAGCAAACAGG